CCUACGGGUGGCUGCAGUGGGGAAUAUUGGACAAUGGGGGGAACCCUGAUCCAGCCAUGCCGCGUGUGUGAAGAAGGCCCUCGGGUUGUAAAGCACUUUCAGUGAGGAAGAACGCCUGGUGGUUAAUACCCAUCAGGAAAGACAUCACUCACAGAAGAAGCACCGGCUAACUCCGUGCCAGCAGCCGCGGUAAUACGGAGGGUGCGAGCGUUAAUCGGAAUUACUGGGCGUAAAGCGCGCGUAGGUGGCUUGAUAAGCCGGUUGUGAAAGCCCCGGGCUCAACCUGGGAACGGCAUCCGGAACUGUCAAUCUAGAGUGCAGGAGAGGAAGGUGGAAUUCCCGGUGUAGCGGUGAAAUGCGUAGAGAUCGGGAGGAAUACCAGUGGCGAAGGCGGCCUUCUGGACUGACACUGACACUGAGGUGCGAAAGCGUGGGUAGCAAACAGGAUUAGAUACCCUAGUAGUC
rnacentral:rRNA from 1 species